CUUGGAUCGGAGAAAACUAGUCUUGCAUUAAAGUGCCGCGCCAUUGAGGAUAAGAUGAAUUUACUUAACAAACAACUGGAAGCUAGUGAGAAGUAUAAAUCCGAAUAUUUGAAGCGUUAUGAAGAUGCCAUCAAUGACAAGAAGCAGCUUGCAGAUGAUUACACGAGUCGUAUCACAAAUUUGCAGAGUAAAUAUAGUUCAUUGGAAGAAAGAUAUUCAAGCUUAUCAAAAACAUUCACUUCAGCUAAACAUGAGUCCUCAGAAUGGAAAAGAAAAUAUGAACAGCUUCUGUUGAAGCAGAAGGCUAAUGAAGACCAAUCAAGUGCAGAAGUAUCUGUUCUGAAGUCCAGAACUGCUGCCGCUGAAGCAAGGCUGGCUGCUGCCAAAGAGCAAGCUGAAUCGGCUCAAGAGGAGGCGGAGGAGUGGAAACGUAAAUAUGACAUUGCCGUCAAGGAAGUUAAGAAUGCUCUUGAGAAGGCAGCGUCUGUUCAAGAGCGAGCAAACAAGGAAACCCAGUUGAGAGAAGAUGCUUUAAGGGAUGAGUUUUCAAGCACCCUGGCGGAUAAGGAAGAAGAAAUUAAAGACAAGGCAUAUAAGCUUGAGCAUGCUGAGCAGCGUUUAGCAACACUGACUUUGGAGUUGAGGACUGCUGAUUCAAAGGUGAGGAACUAUGGUCUAGAAGUGUCAGCCUUGAAGGUUGAAAUCAAGGAAUUGGGUGAAAGGAUAGAGAAUAUAAAGGAUACUGCACAAUCAUUUGAAAGAGAAGCUAAGAUUCUGGAACAGGAGAAGGUUCAUCUGGAGCAGAAGUACCGGUCAGAGUUCGAUCGAUUUGAGGAUGUUCAGGAUAGAUGUAAAUCAGCUGAAAGAGAGGCGAAAAGAGCGACUGAGCUGGCUGAUAAAGCAAGGGUUGAAGCAGCUGCUGCCCAGAAAGAAAAGAGUGAAAUCCAUCGAGUAGCUAUGGAAAGGUUGGCUCAGAUCGAGAGGAAUGGGAGAAAUAUACAAAACUUGGAGAGGCAAAGAGAUGACUUGGCCGAUGAAUUAGAGAGGUGCCGUGCAUCUGAGUUUGAUGCGCAGUCAAAAGUUACAACUUUGGAG
rnacentral:misc_RNA from 1 species